rnacentral:misc_RNA from 1 species
AAGUCGUAACAAGGUUUCCGUAGGUGAACCUGCGGAAGGAUCAUUACCUAGAGUUUAGGCUUUGCCUUAUCUCUUACCCAUGUCUUUAAGUACCUUACGUUCCUGGCGGGUCCGCCCGCCGAUUGGACAAUUUAAACCCAUUUGCAGUUGCAAUCAGCGUUGAAAAAACUUAAUAGUUACA